rnacentral:rRNA from 1 species
GGGCCCGCACAAGCGGUGGAGUAUGUGGUUUAAUUCGAUGCAACGCGAAGAACCUUACCAGGGUUUGACAUCCUGCGAAUCUCUUGGAAACAGGAGAGUGCCUUCGGGAACGCAGUGACAGGUGGUGCAUGGCUGUCGUCAGCUCGUGUCGUGAGAUGUUGGGUUAAGUCCCGCAACGAGCGCAACCCUUGCCCUCAGUUGCCAGCAGUUCGGCUGGGCACUCUGGGGGACUGCCGGUGACAAGCCGGAGGAAGGUGGGGAUGACGUCAAGUCCUCAUGGCCUUUAUAUCCAGGGCUACACACGUACUACAAUGCUACGGACAAAGGGCAGCAAGUUCGCGAGGACAAGCAAAUCCCAUAAACCGUGGCUCAGUUCAGAUCGUAGGCUGCAACUCGCCUACGUGAAGGCGGAAUCGCUAGUAAUCG